AGAGUUUGAUCCUGGCUCAGAACGAACGCUGGCGGCAGGCCUAACACAUGCAAGUCGGACGAGAAGCCACCUUCGGGUGGUGGACAGUGGCAGACGGGUGAGUAACGCGUGGGAACCUUCCCAAUGGUGCGGAAUAGCUCAGGGAAACUUGAGGUAAUACCGCAUAAGCCCUUAGGGGGAAAGAUUUAUCGCCAUUGGAUGGGCCCGCGUCGGAUUAGCUAGUUGGUGAGGUAAUGGCUCACCAAGGCAACGAUCCGUAGCUGGUUUGAGAGAAUGACCAGCCACACUGGGACUGAGACACGGCCCAGACUCCUACGGGAGGCAGCAGUGGGGAAUCUUGGACAAUGGGCGCAAGCCUGAUCCAGCCAUGCCGCGUGAGUGACGAAGGCCUUAGGGUUGUAAAGCUCUUUUGCCGGGGACGAUAAUGACGGUACCCGGAGAAUAAGUCCCGGCUAACUUCGUGCCAGCAGCCGCGGUAAUACGAAGGGGACUAGCGUUGUUCGGAAUUACUGGGCGUAAAGCGCACGUAGGCGGAUUUGUUAGUCAGGGGUGAAAUCCCGGGGCUCAACCUCGGAACUGCCUUUGAUACUGCAAGUCUCGAGUCCGAUAGAGGUGGGUGGAAUUCCUAGUGUAGAGGUGAAAUUCGUAGAUAUUAGGAAGAACACCGGUGGCGAAGGCGGCCCACUGGAUCGGUACUGACGCUGAGGUGCGAAAGCGUGGGGAUCAAACAGGAUUAGAUACCCUGGUAGUCCACGCCGUAAACGAUGGAUGCUAGCCGUCGGCAAGCUUGCUUGUCGGUGGCGCAGCUAACGCAUUAAGCAUCCCGCCUGGGGAGUACGGCCGCAAGGUUAAAACUCAAAGGAAUUGACGG
rnacentral:rRNA from 1 species